CAUUAAAUGACUGAAAGUAAGUAUUGAUUUUUUAAAUCAAAUUAUAUUAGAGUAACAUCUAUUUUUAAUGA
rnacentral:tRNA from 1 species